GCCGGCGCAGCGGCGGCGGCGGCGGGCGGAACCGGCGAUGGGCCUCGGUGGUGAUGGGAUAGAGGAGAGAGACAUGGGAUAGAGGAGAGAGAAAGGGGAGAGAGGAGAGAGAAUGAGGGUAGAGGGUGUAAAAGUGUCCCAUAAGCAACCAUAAGCAACUCAAAACUUGCUUAUUUGCUUAUGCAUAAGCAACUUAUAAGCAACUCUAUAAGCAAGAGUGUUUGGGUUAUAAGCAACUUAUUUGCUUAUUUUUAAGUUGCUUAUGGAUAAGCAAAGGAAACCAAACAGGCCCUUAUUGUACACCAUUUUGUUAAUCGAUCAAGCAUCCUUGCUUCUGCCCGAGCACCUAA
rnacentral:lncRNA from 1 species